AUAAAAGGGUUAGUUUGUAUAUUUUCCCGGUUAUUGUCCAGUUCUUAAUUUUGGUUGAGUAGCUAGAACUCUCAGCCAUUCAGAGAUUUAUUUGCUUUUUAAGUUCUUGCAUUUUUUUAAUAGCUUAUCAGUGUAAAAUAACUUCUAAGUCAGAAAUAAAUGGCAAUGUAAUUGAGAUUUUCUUUUCUGAAGGGAUUUUUGUCCACUAUAUUGUUUACAUUUUAGACACUUGUGUUUGUCUUUUUCUUGGUUUCAAUCACUGAAUUUUAUUUUUGCUUUUUUCAGAGAAGAAACAACUAUAACCAGGG
rnacentral:misc_RNA from 1 species